rnacentral:rRNA from 1 species
UACGUAGGGGGCUAGCGUUGUCCGGAUUUAUUGGGCGUAAAGAGCGUGUAGGCGGCCAUGUAGGUCCGGUGUGAAAACUCGAGGCUUAAACCUCGAGAUGUCAUCGGAAACCAUUUGGCUAGAGUCCGGAAGAGGAGAGUGGAAUUCCUGGUGUAGCGGUGAAAUGCGCAGAUAUCAGGAAGAACACCAAUGGCGAAAAGCAGCUCUCUGGGACGGUACUGACGCUGAGACGCGAAAAGCGUGGGGGAGCGAACAGG